GGGAGACCGUGGGCGGAGGUGAUACAACCUGACUGAUGAUGGCUGACAAAAGAAGAAGAAAGUAGCUGAGAACCAGCAGCUGAAGAAAGCAAGAAAAUAUGAGUGAAGUCACAAAUGUCACCAAGGAAAGGAAGAACAGAAAAAUAACUUGAAUAUUCAAGAUGGGCAGCCUAGUUCAACGACACAUCAAGCCUUGUGAAAAGGUGACUCCGAGGUUCAGAUGCUGCCCAAGCCAACCCGAGUUUACCAGGUUCCAGGAAUGACCUUGAAUUCCAGAUCCUUCUGCCCCCAUCAUCUGAGUGCUGGGUUACGGUUGGGUGGCUAUACCUGCCUCUCACCUGGGUCUUUGAAACAAAAGAGGGAAGAAAGAAAGAAAGAAAGAAAGAAAGAA
ensembl:lincRNA Halr1 Hoxa adjacent long noncoding RNA 1